rnacentral:rRNA from 1 species
GGGGAAUAUUGCACAAUGGAGGAAACUCUGAUGCAGCGACGCCGCGUGAACGAUGAAGGCUUUCGGGUCGUAAAGUUCUGUCCUAGGGGACGAUAAUGACGGUACCCUAGGAGGAAGCCCCGGCUAACUACGUGCCAGCAGCCGCGGUAAUACGUAGGGGGCGAGCGUUGUCCGGAUUUAUUGGGCGUAAAGGGUUCGCAGGCGGUCUCUUAAGUUAGAUGUGAAAGAUCACGGCUCAACCGUGGUAAGCAUUUAAAACUGGGAGACUUGAGUUAAGGAGAGGAAAGUGGAAUUCCUAGUGUAGCGGUGAAAUGCGUAGAUAUUAGGAGGAAUACCAGUGGCGAAGGCGACUUUCUGGACUUAUACUGACGCUGAGGAACGAAAGCGUGGGGAGCAAAC